rnacentral:rRNA from 1 species
AGAGUUUGAUCCUGGCUCAGAUUGAACGCCGGCGGUAGGCUUAACACAUGCAAGUCGUGCGAGAAAGUAUCUUCGGAUACGAGUACAGCGGCGGACGGGUGAGUAACGCGUAGGAAUCUACCUAGUAGAAGGGGAUAGCCCGGGGAAACCCGGAUUAAUACCGUAUACCUCCUUCGGGAGAAAGAAGGCCUCUCUUUGAAGCUUUCGCUACUAGAUGAGCCUGCGUAAGAUUAGCUUGUUGGUGAGGUAAAGGCUCACCAAGGCAACGAUCUUUAGCUGGUUUGAGAGGACGAUCAGCCACAUUGGGACUGAGACACGGCCCAGACUCCUACGGGAGGCAGCAGUGGGGAAUAUUGGACAAUGGGCGCAAGCCUGAUCCAGCCAUACCGCGUGUGUGAAGAAGGCCUUCGGGUUGUAAAGCACUUUAAGCAGGGAGAAAAAGUUAUAAGCUAAUACCUUAUAACCUUGAUGUUACCUGCAGAAUAAGCACCGGCUAAUUCCGUGCCAGCAGCCGCGGUAAUACGGAAGGUGCAAGCGUUAAUCGGAAUUACUGGGCGUAAAGCGCGCGUAGGUGGUUUGUUAAGUUGGAUGUGAAAGCCCUGGGCUCAACCUAGGAACUGCAUCCAAAACUAACUCACUAGAGUACGAUAGAGGGAGGUAGAAUUCAUAGUGUAGCGGUGGAAUGCGUAGAUAUUAUGAAGAAUACCAGUGGCGAAGGCGGCCUCCUGGAUCUGUACUGACACUGAGGUGCGAAAGCGUGGGCAGCGAACAGGAUUAGAUACCCUGGUAGUCCACGCCGUAAACGAUGACAACUAGCUGUUAGGAGACUUUGUCUUUUAGUGGCGCAG